rnacentral:misc_RNA from 1 species
ACGCUUAGUCUGCUGGAGUUCGCCAGAGGGGCAAGGACACUUUUGAAAACUUGUAAACAUAUUGCUCUAUAGGUAGUUUUUUCUUUCAUUUCUUACUAUUAUUGAAUGUAAGUGUUAUAUAAAUGUUUAAAGAUAUAUAGAACCUUUUGGCAAAUUUCACAAUAAGUUGACAACACAUGAAUACUGUUAUAUAUGGAUAUAUGUCUUAUUUUUCUCCAUUUUAACAUUUACAGACGGAGAAGAUUUAUACUAUUUCAAAGUUUUUGAACACAAUUUCUCAAAGAAGCAGGAAAUACUCUUUCUUAUUUUAAUGUUGCCAUAUUUGAGCUUACAUAAAAGGCUACCUAAAGAUACAGAAAAAUUGAGAAACAACGAUAUUGCACAGUUAAAAAAGGAUUAUAGAAGAUACACACAGGACAAGAAGCAUUCCCAUACUAUUCUUGUUGAUGUUCCAACUCCGAUUCAACCAAUUAAGGAAACAAGAAUACUCCAACCAUCCUUCACAACAUCACCUACAAUUGAGUCAGUUUCUCAACAUAAUAUGAGAGGUCGUUAUGCAAAAAAAUCACUAAGGGCUAGAUCAACAUCAGAACUAUCUGAUGCAUUUAAUUUUCAUGAAUCAGUAAUAGAAAACAAGGCUAACCGUAGUUUUGAUACAAUGUCUACUACCGACGAGAUGGAAAAGGAAUUUUUUUCUAAAACUACUUUAGUCACUAAAAGAAAUUCUCUGCCAAUUUCUAAUAAUAAUAAACUGAUUGAAAAUCGAAAAGUAAAAUCUUUGGAUGACAAUACUACUUCGCAAAUAAAUAUUAGAGAUCGCACAAGAAGAAGAAAUUUUCAACCCUUCCCUCAGAAAAGUUUAAAUGCUGAUGUCUUAAGAAACGGUAUUAAACUGGGUUUGUAUAGAUCAGACAUACUAACAUCAGCUACUAAAGGAAUGAAUCAUUGAAUUGAUCGAUAUUUAAGUAUAAACAGAUUGGGGUAAGCGUUCACUAUUGCAUACUUCAAAAAGAAACCUACAUCAGCUUAACAGACUUGAAAUCAAUAGAAAUAUAUAAAUAAAAGUAGAUCUAUUUGUGAAAAAUUACCCCUAUUGAAAACAAAAUGAAGAUAUUGAUAGAAUAAGAGAAAAUUUUCGUUUUGUCAUUUUUCUAAAUACCGGUUUAUUCUUCCUUUUUGCUAUGUAG